UUUUCUUUUCAAUUUCGUUUUGGUUUUCUUUUGCUUGAUUUCUCAAGGAAGAUUCGGAUUUCAAAAGCUUUUAAACAAUUUUCGGACUCAAAAAGUGUCCCACAUUGAUUCCAAGCAUAGGAGACCUAGCUUUUGGGGUUUCUAUAAAUAGAUCCCCAUUUCUUCAUUAUCAAACAAGUUUGGUAUACCCCAAGUUCUGAUCUUUUCAAAUUAUUUGGCUUUAAACAAGAAAUUUCUCUUGCGAGUCGAGUACUUGAAUUAUUGGAACAAGUUAAAAAUAAUUUUUUCGAGUUUGAAGUUAAUCGUGGUGUGGUUCGAAGGUGAUCGAAUAACUCCCGUCGCUGCUUGGCAAAAGGGUACGCAGGCUAAGAAUACAACAAAGGUUAAAGAACUCGAACACAAGAGUUGAGACUCGUGAAGAUGAAUAUGAGAUGCCAGAUAUCCCUUCAACAAUAUCGUUUCUUCCUAACAUGUGUUUGGUAGGUUGGGAAAAGUCAGAAAAUGAGGUUGCAGUUCUAAAGCAGCAACUUGAGGCAGCUGAGCAGCAGAACUUGACUUUGGAUGUUCGCGUCAACCAUCUUGAUGUUUGCGAGGGGUGAAGUAGUCUAAUGUUGUAGACUAACUUAAUAUAGACUAGUUUAAUGUUUUGUGGAUGUUUACAAAUGUUGAAGUAGUUUAAUGUUGUUUUGAUGUUUGCAAAGGUUGAAGUAGCUUAAGUCUCUUGUGAAUGUUUGAUUGAUGUUUUUAUUCAACUUUGAAGUAGUUUCAAAUUGAAUUUGAUGUAUUGGUGGUUGUAGUAUAUGUGUUGUAAUAGUAGUUUAAUGUUUUAUGUAUUUAUAGUAGUUUGGUGUA